ensembl:lncRNA
AGCAAAUCUAAAAGUCUAUUAAAUCCAUUUUUUGGGGAAAAUGGACUGAGGUUUGUGGAGCUCCAGGACAUUGUGUGUUGCUCAGUCAUGGCCAACUGUUUGCAGCCGCAUGGACUAUAGCCUGCCAGGCUCGUCUGUCCAUGGGAUUUUCCAGGCAAGAAUUCUGGAGCGGUUGCCACUUCCUACUCCAGGGGAUCUUCCUUACCCAGAGAUGGAACCUGUGUCUCCUGCAUCUCCUGCAUUGGCAGAUGGAUUCUUCACCACUAGCGCCACCUGGGAAGGCCCUCUAGGACAUUAACUUGCCUUUGGACUCAAACUGAACUGCAUCACCAGCUCUUCUGGGUCUUCAGCUUGCAGAUGGCAGAUCAUGAGGCUUCUCAACUGCCAUAAUCAUGCUGCUCCAAGUGGCCCAGCCCAACCUGAAGCCAGUGGGCACAGGAGCACAUCCACAGAGGGCAAACUUCAGCUUCAUGAGAAGUGUGGAAAGUGGAUGAAUGGAAGACAUCUCUGCAACAGACCCCAAGGAAGAAUAAAUUCUGCCAAUUAAACUAUGAGACACUGUUCCCUUGUCACUUGAAAUUUCUGUGUUACACCUACUGAAAGAGCUGUUAGACAUAUAAAAGGAAUUUGUUUUUGUCAUGUAGUACUUUUCUGGAUUUAAGAUAACUUCACAUUUCAAUACUGAACAAAAGUACAAUUUUUUGGAAAACAUUUUGUGGCAAAUAUUUUUUCCCCAAAGGUGAUCACGAUAACAGCUCUUGCCCAACAUGUGCUUCUGGCACCUCACGACUGCCACACUGAGAGGGGAAGUCUAGUUUCUCCUCGCUCGAAUCUAGGCUCUUUUGUGACUUGCUUGUAACCGAUGGACAGCAUCUGACACGGUGCCUCAUGACUUCUGAAGCCAG